rnacentral:rRNA from 1 species
UACGGGGGGGGGGCAAGCGUUGUUCGGAAUUACUGGGCGUAAAGGGUUCGUAGGUGGCCAAUUAAGUCAGACGUGAAAUCCCUCAGCUUAACUGGGGAACUGCGUCUGAGACUGGAUGGCUUGAGUGCAGGAGAGGAACGCGGAAUUCCAGGUGUAGCGGUGAAAUGCGUAGAUAUCUGGAGGAACACCGGUGGCGAAGGCGGCGUUCUGGACUGCAACUGACACUGAGGAACGAAAGCCAGGGGAGCAAACGGG